rnacentral:lncRNA from 1 species
UAGCAAGGUGGUGAGGCAAUCUGCCUUUUAUUCCCCUUUCAAGCUAUGAGAAGUAGGCAAAUGAUGCGGCUGAACAAUGCCUCCUUGACUUCAGGAUAUAAAAACUACUUUCAUGAGCUUCAAGUCAGGCCUUUGUCCUAUGUCUGGAGACUUCUUGGAAGCUGGAGCACACAAAUAGCUACAGCAAACUUGAGGAAUGGGCAUGAAUAGACUGGCUUCGGGGAACCUGCCAGCUUGGCCGUGUGGCCAAGGUAAUAGGCAAGCCAAGGCAGAGCUAGAGCUCAGAGCUGGAGGGGAAAUUAAAGCAGCAAAUGUAGAAACAUUAAGCCUGAAGAGGCGACGACGUUGAAUUCUAAAAUGCAGGCCAAAGCUCAGACUGCAAGCUGUCUGGCUGCUCCGGGUGUGCCCAGAAGUCAAAGUCCAGCAGGGGCAAAGGUGGAGGUGUGGUCCUGCACGUGGGGUGUUGGGGGGAUGUGGAAGAGGAGGUGCUUUAAGAUCCAGAGAUUCCAGCUGCCCUGGUGCACCCUUGGAAGAAUAAAAGGCUAGGAACUGGACAAGUCAGGCUCGAGUCCAAGCUGCCUGAGGAAUCGGGGAAAGAAUGGAGCUCAGAGUGGGAGGUCAGGGCAGUAUUUAAAAAUCCAGGAUAGCAGCAAAGCUGGCGGUGGCCCCUGACUCUGGUAAGGGCAGCCUGCAGCACCAUGCCAAGGGGGGCCUGACUGAUCAUGCCCUGCAUUUGCAAACAAGGAUUAGUAGGGUAUGAGUAGGAUUCUGCUGGUGCCUGGGAAGGCAGUGCCAUCUACAACUUUACAAAGUUUUAACAAAGGCCUGAAGGACACAACCUUCCCCAAAGUCCUGACGUCGCUGUUUGCUGGCAACAAAUAGAGUCAAAAGAAGAGAGGCACAGAAUGUGCCAGGGGUGUGCUGCGUACAGCCCCGAUGACCACAAGGCCUUCUUGGGUCAAGUUCUGCCAUCUCUGGUUAAGAUGGGCUCACCCUCUAGGACCCUGAUUGAGUCCUCGGACCACCAAGAGUGCCCCACCAAGAGCCUCCCUCUUCUGGUGACUCGUGCCUGCUUCCCGUGGAGAGCUCCAGAAGGGAGGAAACUGUGAGGAGGUGGAGAACGUGGCAGGGAUCCUAACUUUCUUACUGAAGGAAGUUCUUCACAAGUACCCAUCUGCCUUCAGGGAAGAAAACAUAACUCAUUUUGGUCUUUCAAAUUCAGUUCUCAAAACCAAAUCCUGUUGUCAGCAAUCUGUGUCCCAACGCCUUCUUCAGCAACAGCAUUUUCCCUGUGGAAUUAGUUUCCAAUGUUCUUUCUUAAAUAAACCACUGAAGAUUAAAAGGAAUCCAGAUACCCAC